rnacentral:rRNA from 1 species
AGUGAACGCUGGCGGUAGGCCUAACACAUGCAAGUCGAACGGCAGCACAGUAAGAGCUUGCUCUUACGGGUGGCGAGUGGCGGACGGGUGAGGAAUACAUCGGAAUCUACUUUUUCGUGGGGGAUAACGUAGGGAAACUUACGCUAAUACCGCAUACGACCUACGGGUGAAAGCAGGGGAUCUUCGGACCUUGCGCGAUUGAAUGAGCCGAUGUCGGAUUAGCUAGUUGGCGGGGUAAAGGCCCACCAAGGCGACGAUCCGUAGCUGGUCUGAGAGGAUGAUCAGCCACACUGGAACUGAGACACGGUCCAGACUCCUACGGGAGGCAGCAGUGGGGAAUAUAGGACAAUGGGCGCAAGCCUGAUCCAGCCAUACCGCGGGGGUGAAGAAGGCCUUCGGGUUGUAAAGCCCUUUUGUUGGGAAAGAAAAGCAGCAGGUUAAUACCCCGCUGUUCUGACGGUACCCAAAGAAUAAGCACCGGCUAACUUCGU